GGGGAUUUAGCUCAAUGGUACAGCGCUUGCCUAGCAAGCACAAGACCCUGGGUUCGGUCCCCAGCUCCG
rnacentral:tRNA from 1 species